UACGUAGGGUGCGAGCGUUAAUCGGAAUUACUGGGCGUAAAGCGUGCGCAGGCGGUUCGUUGUGUCGGUGGUGAAAGCCCCGGGCUUAACCUGGGAACUGCAUUGGUGACUGGCGGGCUGGAGUAUGGCAGAGGGGGGUAGAAUUCCACGUGUAGCAGUGAAAUGCGUAGAGAUGUGGAGGAAUACCGAUGGCGAAGGCAGCCCCCUGGGCCAAUACUGACGCUCAUGCACGAAAGCGUGGGGAGCAAACAGG
rnacentral:rRNA from 1 species